rnacentral:tRNA from 1 species
GGUCCCGUAGUGUAGAGGCCAAACACGUUUCCCUGUCACGGAAAAGAUCGCCGGUUCGAAUCCGGUCGGGACCG